UCGAGAAUCUUCCGCAAUGGACGAAAGUCUGACGGAGCGACGCCGCGUGCGGGAUGAAGGCCCUUGGGUUGUAAACCGCUUUCGGAGGGGAUGAAAUCUCUGAGGGUACUCCCUCAGAGUUGACAGAGCCUCAAAAGAAGCACGGGCUAAGUACGUGCCAGCAGCCGCGGUAACACGUACUGUGCGAGCGUUAUUCGGAAUCACUGGGCUUAAAGGGUGCGUAGGCGGCAAUCCAAGUCAGAUGUGAAAU
rnacentral:rRNA from 1 species